AUGCUAGCUAGCAGGGGUAUGUUACGGGUUUUGUCGGGGGCGGGGAGGGGGUGGAGGGAAGCCCAGAUUUGGGAGGGAAAGCUCGUUUCACUAGAGAUCCCAUCUCUCGUUUCAAAAGGUCAUUUCCAUUCAGCAGAUCCUCUUUCCCUAUUUCAGAGCUCACCACUGUAUUCUAAACAGAAGCCAACAGAGGGAGAAAAACAAAGCCAAGUGCAAAAGCUGUGGGCACUGAAAGUUUUGCUCCACCGGCCGCGCAGCACCCACUUGGGGUCGGGCUUUGGGACUUGGGGGAGUCAGGAGCAGGCGGGGGCUGGGGAGAGGACGAGGCCCUGGGGAGGGGCUGGAAAAGGCUUUUCACAGCGACUGGCACUUGAUAUUUGCAAGUCUUGUGGAUGUCACUCACCGGAAACCAGACCCUGCGGUGCGAAGGCUCAGGACUCUGUGAUGUGGUGAGCUGGCCUUAUUCACCUUCUCCAUACCUUUCGAGGAUUUGGAUGCGUCUCUUGCACCUAUCUUAGCCGUCUUUCUUCCAUCCUGAAGAGACAUGCGUCUCUGUGGUGGCUCCUCCCUCCCCAAGGUCAUCGUGGCUGACUUGGGACCUUUCCCAGCUGUGUGUUUCUGUCUUGAAACACAGUUUAUCUUCUCUCCAUUGAUGCAUCCCAUAAGUAAGUAUUGAGUAUUGACUGUGUAGGACACACCCCUUGCUUAUGAGUAGCUCACUGUGCAUGACGCAAACAUUGAACAGAUCAUUUUAAUGCACUUUCCACAGGUCUGAGCAGAGUUGGGGUGAUUCAUUCUGAGCAGUCAUGGCCCAGUGCAUGGUUGUGUGAGGUCUCCUAGAGAAGGGGGCCUUUGAGUUGGGAUGUAAAGGGUGCUGGGAAUUUGCAAGGUAGUGCUACUUGCUAUCUUGCAAAUUCUACCUUUAAAUUCCACCCUUUAAAUUCCAGCUCAAUGGAGGCCUUUAAGUUGGGAUUUAAAGGGUGCUGGAAAUUUGCAAGAUAGAGGUACUUGCUGUGGAGGGAAAGACGAUAUUCAGAAGCACAGUUACACAAGUUAAGAGGAUGGCCAGGAGCAGUGGCUCACACCCAGCACUUUCGUGAGGCUGAGGCAGGAGGAUCACUAGAGCUCAGGAGUUCAAGACCAGCCUGGCCAACAUGGUGAAACCUUAUCUACUAAAAAUACAAAAAAUAUGACCCUGCCAAAUCCCCCUGUGCGAGGAACACCCAAGAAUGAUCAAUAAAAAACAAACAAACAAACAAACAAAAAGAGCUGAUGGUUUUAUAAGGGGCUUCCCCUUUAGCUGGGCACCUAUACUUCUCCUUGCUGCUGUCAUGUGAAGAAAGACAUGUUUGCUUCCCCUUCCCCCAAGAUUGUAAGUUUCCUGAGGCCUUCCCAGCCAUGCUGAACUGUGAGUCAAUUAAACCUCUUUCCUUUAUAAAUUAAAAAAAAAAAAUACAAAAAUUAGCCAGGCAUGGUGGCGGGUGCCUGUGAUCCCAGCUGCUCAGGAGGCUUAGACAGGAGAAUCACUUGAACCCAGGAGGCAGAGGCUGCAGUGAGCUGAGAUCAUGCCACUGCACUCCAGCCUGGGCCACAGAGCAAGAUUCCAUCUAAAAAACAAAAAGUUAAGAGGAGCCACCAGUACUGGGGUGCAGGGUUUGGGGAGGAAAUGAUGGAAGAUGAGGCAUUUCGAAAGCAAUGGAAUAAUGAACUCUAUCCUCCAAUGACCUGA
ensembl:lincRNA